rnacentral:rRNA from 1 species
UAACCUGCCCAAGAGAUCGGGAUAACACCUGGAAACAGAUGCUAAUACCGGAUAACAACAGAUGAUGCCUAUCAACUGUUUAAAAGAUGGUUCUGCUAUCACUCUUGGAUGGACCUGCGGUGCAUUAGCUAGUUGGUAGGGUAACGGCCUACCAAGGCGAUGAUGCAUAGCCGAGUUGAGAGACUGAUCGGCCACAUUGGGACUGAGACACGGCCCAAACUCCUACGGGAGGCAGCAGGU